GUGUGUGUUUGUGUGCUGCGUGAACUAUUUUUCCUGCGUAAAACACUUACCCGUACUGCACCAUCCGCGGUGUUCUUUCUGCUUUAUCGGAGGACAAAUUGUUAUCAUCUAAUUGUUUCGAUGUGUGCUGCUACCGCUGGCUGUUCUCCAAACCUCUUCAAAUUGCGACACUGUGUGCACAGCGUUCAAGGUUCAAUUGAUCCUCGAGCACAAAGCCUUCAUACAACACCGCGGUUGAGGCGCGUCAAAUCUGAUGACAUCUUUCCUGAACCAAGCAGGCUGAACACCGCGCAC